rnacentral:tRNA from 1 species
ACCUAGAUGGUGGAAUAGGUAGACACGACAGACUUAAAAUCUGUUGAGCUUUAGCUUGUGUGGGUUCGAGUCCCAUUCUAGGUA